UUCAGAGUGAGAAGAUCAAGAAUGACUACACGUGUCUCUGGUUGGCAAGAUGCUGCAUCGUGAAUCGUAAGGCCAGACUAGCCUGGGAGUUGUACCUUAAGAUGGAGACGUCUGGCGAAUCGUUCAGCCUGCUGUAGCUCAUUGCCAACGACGGCUACAAAAUGGCCAGUUCUACUAUGCGACCAAGGCUUUCGGUGUCCUGGAAAGAUUGGACCCCAAUCCUGAAUACUGGGAAGGCAAGCGAGGGC